GCCGGCGUAGCUCAGUGGUAGAGCAGGACUUUUGUAAAGUUCAGGCCGUCAGUUCGAUCCUGACCGCCGGCU
rnacentral:tRNA from 1 species